rnacentral:rRNA from 1 species
AUGGCGGGAGGACGCGUGAACUUGGCCGUGGCGCUCUUGUUGGCGCUGCAUGGGCUGCUGCCGCCGUCCGCCCACGCCGCCCUGCAGGACGGGUUCUACGGUGCCAGCACCAACUGCACCGUCGACGUCGAGGCCGUCGUGCGGGGCGUCGUCGAGCGGCACGUCUCCCGGCUCGGCGACGGCGGCUCCGGCGCCGGGCUCAUUCGCCUCCACUUCCACGAUUGCUUUGUCAAGGGCUGCGAUGGUUCCGUCCUCAUUGAUCCGAGCCCCGUCAACCCGGACCCCGAGAAGGCCUCGCCGGCGAACGGCGGCCUCCGCGGGAUCGACGUGGUGGAGGAGGCGAAGAGGCAGCUCGAGGCCUUGUGCCCCGGCACCGUGUCGUGCGCCGACAUCCUCGCCUUCGCCGCCCGGGACGCGGCCAACGUCCUCAGCUCCGGGGCGAUCAGCUACGACGUCCCCUCGGGCCGCCGCGACGGGCUCACCUCUGACGCGGCCGACGCCAGCCAGAGCCUGCCGCCGCCGUUCGCGCAGCUCGGCGACCUCGUCCGCGCCUUCGCCUCCAAGGGCUUCGGCAUUGACGAGCUCGUCGCUCUCUCCGGCGCGCACUCCAUCGGCCGCGCGCACUGCUCGUCGUUCGGGGACCGGAUCCACCCCGCCGUGCACGAGACCAUGGACCCGAGCUACGGCGCCGACAUGCGGUCGCGGUGCCCCGAGGACGCCGGGGCGGGGGAAUGGGUCGCGCAGGACCAGGCGACGCCGGGGGACCUCGACGGCCGGUACUUCGAGAACGUGCUCGCCGGGAGGGUGCCCUUCAGCUCGGACCGGGCGCUGAUCGACGACGGCGAGACGAGGCGGAUGGUGGAGGACAACUCGGGGGACCAAGGGGAGUGGGCGGCCAGGUUCGCUGCCGCCAUGCGGAAGAUGAGCGAGCUCGCCGGCACCGGCGAGGGCGAGAUCAGGGAGUUCUGCCACGUGACAAACAGAGGCUAG